AUACGUAGGAGGCGAGCGUUGUCCGGAUUUACUGGGCGUAAAGCGCGCGUAGGCGGUUUGGUAAGUCGGAUGUGAAAUCCCCGGGCUCAACCUGGGAACUGCAUUCGAUACUGCCAGACUAGAGUAUGGUAGAGGGAAGCGGAAUUCCACAUGUAGCGGUGAAAUGCGUAGAUAUGUGGAGGAACACCAGUGGCGAAAGCGACUCACUGGACCAUUUCUGACGCUGAGGUGCGAAAGCUAGGGUAGCGAACGGGAUUAGAAACCCCAGUAGUCC
rnacentral:rRNA from 1 species